rnacentral:lncRNA from 1 species
AUGCUCAAAAUUCUCCAAGCCAGGCUUCAGCAAUAUGUGAACCAUGAACUUCCAGAUGUUCAAGCUGGUUUUAGAAAAGGCAGAGGAACAAGAGAUCAAAUUGCCAAAAUCCGCUGGAUCAUCGGGAAAGCAAGAGAGUUCCAGAAAAACAUCUAUUUCUGCUUUAUUGACUAUGCCAAAGCCUUUGACUGUGUGGAUCACAAUAACCUGUGGAAAAUUCUGAAAGAGAUGGGAAUACCAGACCACCUGACCUGCCUCUUGAGAAACCUAUAUGCAGGUCAGGAAGCAACAGUUAGAACUGGACAUGGAACAACAGACUGGUUCCAAAUAGGAAAAGGAGUACGUCAAGGCUGUAUAUUGUCACCCUGCUUAUUUAACUUAUAUGCAGAACACAUCAUGAGAAACACUGGGCUGGAAGAAGCACAAGCUGGAAUCAAGAUUGUUGGGAGAAAUAUCAAUAACCUCAGAUAUGCAGAUGGCACCACCCUUAUGGCAGAAAGUGAAGAGGAACUAAAAAGCCUCUUGAUGAAAGUGAAAGAGGAGAGUGAGAAAGUUGGCUUAAAGCUCAACAUUCAGAAAACGAAGAUCAUGGCAUCUGGUCCCAUCAUUUCAUGGGAAAUAGAUGGGGAAACAGUGGAAACAGUAUCAGACUUUAUUUUUUCAGGCUUUAGAAUCACUGCAGAUGGUGACUGCAGCCAUGAAAUUAAAAGAUGCUUACUCCUUGGAAGGAAAGUUAUGACCAACCUAGAUAGCAUAUUGAAAAGCAGAGACAUUACUUUGCCAACAAAGGUCCAUCUAGUCAAGGCUAUGGUUUUUCCAGAGGUCAUGUAUGGAUGUGAGAGUUGGACUGUGAAGAAAGCUGAGUGCCAAAAAAUUGAUGCUUUGGAACUGUGGUGUUGGAGAAGACUCUUGAGAGUCCCUUGGACUGCAGGGAGAUCCAACCAGUCCAUUCUAAAGGAGAUCAGUCUUGGAUGUUCUUUGGAAGGACUGAUGCUAAAGCUGAAACUCCAAUACUUUGGCCACCUCAUACAAAGAGUUGACUCAUUGGAAAAGACUCUGAUGCUGGGAGGGAUUGGGGGCAGGAGGAGAAGGGGAUGA